rnacentral:rRNA from 1 species
GCAUAUCAAUAAGCGGAGGAAAAGAAACCAACAGGGAUUGCCUUAGUAGCGGCGAAGCGAAGCGGCAACAGCUCAAAUUUGAAAUCUGGCUACUUUGUAGUCCGAAGUUGUAAUUUGCAGAGGAUGCUUUUGGUGAGGUGCCUUCCGAGUUCCCUGGAACGGGACGCCAGAGAGGGUGAGAGCCCCGUACGGUUGGACACCAAACCUUUGUAUAGCUCCUUCAACGAGUCGAGUAGUUUGGGAAUGCUGCUCUAAAUGGGAGGUAUAUCUCUUCUAAAGCUAAAUACCGGCUAGAGACCGAUAGCGCACAAGUAGAGUGAUCGAAAGAUGAAAAGCACUUUGAAAAGAGAGUUAAACAGCACGUGAAAUUGUUGAAAGGGAAGCGCCUAUGACCAGACUUGUUUCUGUCAGUUUUGCUUGUUUUCGGACUUGUUUACUCUGUCAGUACAGGCCAACAUCAGUUUGUUGUUUGGGAGAAAGGCUUAGGGAAUGUGGCUCCCUCGGGAGUGUUAUAGCCCUUUGCAUAAUACCAUUCGGCAGACUGAGGACCGCGCUUCGGCAAGGAUGUUGGCGUAAUGGUCAUCAGCGACCCGUCUUGAAACACGGACCAAGGAGUCAACCUUAUGUGCGAGUGUUUGGGUGUAAAACCCCAGCGCGUAAUGAACGUGAACGUAGGUGAGAGCUUCGGCGCAUCAUCGACCGAUUCUGAUGUUCUCGGAUGGAUUUGAGUAAGAGCAUAUAGGGUUGGACCCGAAAGAAGGUGAACUAUGCUUGUAUAGGGUGAAGCCAGAGGAAACUCUGGUGGAGGCUCGCAGCGGUUCUGACGUGCAAAUCGAUCGUCAAAUAUGAGCAUGGGGGCGAAAGACUAAUCGAACCUUCUAGUAGCUGGUUCCAGCCGA